rnacentral:rRNA from 1 species
GGGCCAUGACCGGUCCCUGACAAGAAGCACCGGCUAACUUCCUGCCCGCGGCCCCGGUGAUUCCAAAGGUGCAAGCGUUACUCGGAAUUACUGGGCGUAAAGGGGGCGGAAGCCGUCGGUUAAGUCCUGUGUGUAAGCCCUGGGCUUAACCCGGGGACUGCAACGGAUACCGGGGGAACUGGGUGGGGAAAAGGGAAGUGGGAUUUCCUGGGGGUAACAGUAAAAUGCGUAAAGUUUAGGAAGAACAUCCAUGGCGAAGGUCGCUUCCUGGACCAACACUUACACUCAGGCUCGAAUGCCUGGGGAGCAAACAGGAUUAAAUACCCUGGUUGUCCACGCCCUAAACCAUUAGUACUGGGUGUUGGGGGGCUUUUUGGCCCGCAAUAGCGGAUCUUACGUGUUAACUUCCCCCCCUGGGGAAAACUUUCGCGAGACUUAAUCUCAGGGGGCUUGACGGGGGCCCCCCAAAAGCAGCAGAAUAUGUGUUUAUAACUUCCAUGGCGCGCUUAAAAACCUUACCCGGCCUUGAAGUCUCCCAGAACUUUCAAGAGAUAGGGUGGGCCCCUCUGGGAA